rnacentral:tRNA from 1 species
GGAGGGGUGGCUGAGCGGCUUAAGGCACCUGUCUUGAAAACAGGCAUACUGAAAGGUAUCGUGGGUUCGAAUCCCUCCCCCUCCGCCA